rnacentral:rRNA from 1 species
CCAGACUCCUACGGGAGGCAGCAGUGAGGAAUAUUGGUCAAUGGGCUUACGCCUGAACCAGCCAAGUCGCGUGAGGGAGGACGGCCCUACGGGUUGUAAACCUCUUUUGCCGGGGAGCAACGGGCGCCACGUGUGGCGUCACUGAGAGUACCCGGAGAAAAAGCAUCGGCUAACUCCGUGCCAGCAGCCGCGGUAAUACGGAGGAUGCGAGCGUUAUCCGGAUUUAUUGGGUUUAAAGGGUGCGUAGGCGGGCAUUUAAGCCGGCGGUCAAAUGUCGGGGCUCAACCCCGGCCUGCCGUCGGAACUGGGUGCCUUGAGUGGGCGAGAAGUAUGCGGAAUGCGUGGUGUAGCGGUGAAAUGCAUAGAUAUCACGCAGAACCCCGAUUGCGAAGGCAGCAUACCGGCGCCCUACUGACGCUGAGGCACGAAAGUGCGGGUAUCGAACAGGAUUAGAUACCCCGGUAAA